CUUCACAGAGGCUUCUCCUGUGGUUGUGUUGAGGGGAGCCCCUCGCCUGGCUCUGCUGCGUUGGAGCAGUGACACUGCUGGCCUGGCACCUGUCUGCCUGCUGGUGAUCACCUGCUGGAACUGCCUUACUACAGAGGAGCGUGAAGGACCUGCUGUACGGGAAGUUUUCAUCCGCUUCAUUGGAGACGCACUUGGGCCCUCAGAACACCUACCAGGCAUGUUGGCAGUUCUUCAGGUUAAAAGAGAGUAAACAUCAAGAGAAACAAGCAAAAAGGAGAGGUGUGUGACUCCUAUCAGGGAACUCGGAGCCCAUUUCAAGUUACUGCAUACUCAAGAGAAAGGAUGAGGAAUGGCCAGGGCCUGGAUGUCCUCGUGUUGGGAAGAGUGGAACGCAGAGCUCAGUAAGUCCCACUUGGCGGCAGAGACUUGUGAGUGAUCAGCAGCCCUCGGGGGAGAAGUGUGAUCCUGUUUACCUACAGCCAUAACUUCAUCACUGAAGACAAUUUUAAGCUUCCUAGGAAAGUUAAUUAAAAGGCAAAAAUUCAUUUAUUGCUCAAGGUGUUGCCUGUCAGAGCAUGUCUGAGUCACCACUGAGGAUGCAGAACCAUCUGAUGGGAAAUGAGAAAGAAGAUCCUAAUUUUAAAUAUCCAUUGCCCCUGCUUCCUGUGCAGCAAGACAAAUUUCCAGCAGUCAAAAAAUAAACCAUCCGCAGUUCAAGAAAAAAUUGAACCCUUUCUAAUCAUUGCUAUAAAAAGUAAUUGUUGCAUGUGGGUUCCUUGUCAAGAUUGGAAGGCUGACCAGUAGGUCCCCGAGAAGCCUCUAGUGAUGUGUCUGCUGGAUUGGAGGUGUAUCACAGGUGAGCAGAACAGUAACUACAUGAGCCCUUAAAGUGGAGUGAAUGCAGAUGACACUUUUAUUCAUGCUCAGCCAGAUUGCUUGGUAUUGUAUCCUUUCUGAAGGAAAGUGAAAAAUGACACUCUGGCAACAGGCCACUGACUGCACAGCAACUUGGCGUGGGUCUCCUGUUUGUCUCAGCCUGAGAUGAACAUCACCAGAGAUGCCAGACUGCUAGCCACAAGCUGAGAGUGUUAGAGAAUGUCUUCCUUUAAUCACAUCUCUGCCAUUUUUAGAGAAAAAUACAUGAAGGAGGAGGGACAUUUCCUGUCUGUUUGGAUCCUUGGUGGCACCAGUGGUAGUGGUUUUAUCUCCCUUUGCAUAAGCUCUCCUAGCUAAGACUAAUUGGUAAGCUCAGUGCAGUUUAUCUAGCCCCAGAUAUGAAUUAUUUUUCAAAGCUUCUCAUUUUUUUGCUUCCCAUUUUCCUUUUAUUUUAUUGUAUUUUAAGGGGAGUUUUUGAAAGCCCUCAAGGGAUUAGGAAGACAAAACUGUUCGACUUCCAGUUGCAUCUGAGCCACCGUAGCUAUUGCAGUGGGCACCAACGUGGCCAGAACCACCUUGGGACGUUUCAUAUGGAAACUCCAUGGUUUGUAACUGUGAGCUUUCACGAGAUGACUGGGUACACCAUGAAUGUAACUCACAGCUCAGUCUGGCACUGUGUUGUAACUGAGGUCUUGGUAUGAAAACCUGUGUGGCCACAGGGGAUUUUCAUCAUUAUACAAUAAUCCACAUCAUAAAUAAUCUUUCCAGGCUCCUUCUUGAAUCCUUCUAUGAAAAACAGUUUAAAGAGAGAAACUGGAGGAAGAUUUUCCUCUUCAAAGAACAUUUAAACUAUUAAUUUUGUAGGAAGCCUGGAUAUUAUACAAUUUCAAUGUUUUUUAUUUCAUCCAAGCAAUGGCACAAUAAGAUAUACAACAGCCGCCACUGUGGACUAGGAAACAUUCGACUGAAAAACUGGAGUUUAUGUUCUUCCCAUUGGAACUGGCUGCUAUCUGUGCCUGCCUCUAUGGGGUGGGUAUUUCCCUGACUAAAUAGUUGUGUUUUUCUGAAGUUAGGGCAGUAUCUUUGCUUUCAGCAUUGAUGCAGCAUGACAUGUACAGUAGGACCUGUCAUAAUCCAUGAAGUCAGUUCUGUUUCAAUGUUAAUAAGUCCUUAAUCAAGCCAUUUGUUUCCUCCAGGAUGUCACAUUUAGCAGCUGAUUGUGAAAUGCUUGAGAACAGGAAUUAUAGGAACAUUAUUUAAUGCUAAGUGUUAUCCACAUCAUAUCUGAAGCUUGAACAUGCCAGGAAAACAUCCUUCAUAUACUGCAAAUAAUCUAUCCGAGCUUUCAGGAUCAAUCAUGAAUUGGCUGGAUCUGCUGCUCUGCCUGAAUUGGAAGAACUGCAGCCACCCCGCAGGUUCAUCGCAGGGGACAAAAGUGGGUCCAGUCCCACAGAAGAGCCUCAAGAACGAUCUGGGUGACGGAACACCGCGGACCCUCACGAGGCCGCGGAGGAUCCCAAACUGGGAGGAGCGGCCGACGCAGCAGAAGGCCGUGCAGCUGUCAUGGUUUUAUGAUUUUUGGUUAUCAGUAUUCCACAUCACAACAUCAUGCAGUGUACUGGGAGUUAAAGAG
rnacentral:lncRNA from 1 species